CGCGAGAAUUGAGGAUAUGUUUGUUUCUUCACCACGCUUCAGUGCUUUUUGGAAAAAGUGGAAAACAGCGGGGCGGCUGGAAGACAAACAUUUUAUGUGAACGUUUGGUUUUCUUGAUAAUCAGAGCAACCUCCGUGUGCCUUACUUGAAGUAACUCUAGCGAGUUUUGCUAUGUCCCUAGGACGGCAUAGCGUACACAACGCAUCAUGAAGUAUGGAUGCGAUUCUGGCACCAACUGUUCCGUUCCUGCUUUCACCAGAAGCUUUGCGUCUUUAAGCUUCCUUUCAUUAGAAUUUGGAUCCAAGUUUGUGGGGAAGACUGUGAAUUCAAUGGAAAGUGUCCUUUUUUUUUUUUUUUUUAAUUUAAGAACUACUUCACCUUAAAUCCCACUUCUCUAAUAAAAUAACUUUUACUGUA
rnacentral:lncRNA from 1 species